UUUCUUCCCCAGGGGUCAGGAAUUUUUUGCCCUUCGAUUCAUAUGGUGGAUUUUGAUUUGUCCUAGAUCUCAUAUUGACAUGGCUUGAGUGCAAUGGCCGAUCUUGGCUUACUGCACCCUCUGCUUCCUGGGUUCAAGGUUCAAGCGAUUUUCCUGCAUCAGCCUCCUGAGUAGCUGGUAUUACAGGCAUGCACCACCAGGCCUGGGCCUGGCUAAUUUUGUAUUUCUAGUAGAGACAAGAUUUCUUCAUGGCGGUCAGGCUGGUCUCAAACUCCUGACCUCAGGUGAUCUGGCCCCCCAACCCCCGGCCUCUCAAAGUGUUGGGAUUACAGGUGUGAACCACCGCACCCCACAGAUUUCUUCUUCUUUAAGGAAGCCUCAGUUCUGUGUUAAAGACCUUUUGCUUGAUUGAGUUAGGCUCACCGGACAAUCUAAAGGAAUCUAACUCCUUGAUGUCAGAUGUAGAAAAUGUCAUAAUAGAAGCAAGAGAUUGUAGUGAUGGAACCAUGAACUAAGGAACGCCAAAACAUACCAGAAGUCUCAAAAAAUGUUAAAAGGCAAUCAACAGAUUCACUCCUGGAGCCUCCAGAAGAAAUCAGGACUCCUGACAUUUUAAUUUUAGCUCACUAGGACUCAUUUCAAACUCCUGGUUUCCAGUUAGAGAAAAUCCAAUUUUGUUAUCUAGAUCAUCAAGUUAAUGAUAAUUUGUAAUAGUUGUCAUAAAAAAUACAGCUAUAUCGUUUGUGUGCUUUUUCAUAGAUUACAUAUUUUAUUCUGAAUUUUAAUGAUUUGUAUGCUUUCUUAGAUGAGGAGAGAAAAGACAAACUUUCCAAUUGUCAUUUAAGAGUUGUGAAAAUCACUUUCUGA
rnacentral:lncRNA from 1 species